rnacentral:lncRNA from 1 species
AGAACUGGCAGCUGUUAGGAGAAGACGGGGUGAUUUGCAGAUGGCAGUCCUGGACUUGGAAGUGCAGAUGUGGGGCCCCAGGAACACUCAAGGUGGGAAUGCUCCUCCCUCCAGGGUGCUGGUCCCCAGGAACCCCCACCUUCCUUUGCCCCAGUCCCAGGAGCCUGUUCUCUAGGAGAUGUGGCCUGUGGACACACCCGGGAGUCAGAUUCUAGGCUCUCCAAGACCUGUCAGUGUCUGCCAGGGACCUCCACUCCGCACAUGUACAGUCCAGGGAUGCAGCCAGUUCCCACACACCCCUUUGCACACCUACAGCCUAACCACCACUACCCAGCACAACCAGUUCUACUCCCCUCCAUUCCCACCCACUUCAAAGCCACAUGUACUUCACUUUACAACAGCAGCCUCCUACUCGCUGACCCCUGUGACUCCAGCCCAUUCAGAUUCUCUGUCCCUUCUUCCACAUGCUUUGUAGCCCCUGACCUUACUAACCUGCCCCCUUAUCUGGCUGCCCUCUCUAUAUCCCCGGGCUUUCUGUGGUGCCCUCUCAGAUGCAUGUGUUUGGGGAGCAUAUGUAUUGUCCCCACAAAUCACUUUCUGCGCUCCAAGAGGGGCUAGUUGUUGCCGGUGGGAAGCCAAGCCCAGGUGCCUCCGGGUUCAGGUGACUGGAAAAGCCAGGGCAGGACUGGAGUAUUACUUAUCGGAGCUGCGUCUGACACCGGCCCGACACCUCGUAAAAUAGGGAACUGCGCCUCUCUGCCUCACCCCGCGCCGCUCGCCAGGCCACCAAGCCGGGAAAGGCGGAGCGAGGGGAAGCCGAACAAGCGGGAUCGGCCGUCCGCGCGCGGAGGGGUUCCUAGACUGGAGAGCAGAAACUACCCGCGUCCCGGGACUUGGCAAGCCCCGUCGAGCCCCGGGACACAACGGGGAAGGGAGAGACAAAGCCGAGCCGCCUCUCCUGGCCAGCCCGGAACCGAAAGUGGGUCCGUAGAGAGCCCAGAGUCCUGGGGGAACAGAUGGGCAAAGGGCUCUAGGAGGUGAUGGAACUCAGGCCCGAAGGGCAGGCAGCCCACAGGAUACCAAGCCUUAACGAACUACGCCAGAAGAAUGGGCGUAGGGCCCACAGCCCCUCACACAACCCAGGCCAAGCUCCCUCGUACACUCAGACCAGGAGAAGAAACAGACACGCAAUACACAAGCCCCGCUCCCUUGGAGCCUACACUUGGGCGAACACACCACUGCUGUUUGCAGUAUCCCGAGACAGGCCCGGCAGGCGUGAGCUAAGAGGCCUCGGGCCCGAACUUGGGAUUUGAGGCUCUCUCACAUCGCCGGUCCCAGCGGCAGCGCCUGAGGCACAGCCAAGACCAUCCGAGGUCCCCGGGCCGCGCGCAGGUAGCAGACUUCUUCAGAACUGGGGGAGCUAAAGAGAGAGUGGGCUUAGAGCCCAGGCCUCCCUGGAUCCCAGAUCCUCGCCUCCGCCUACAGCCAAGCCCCUCAGCUUUUGCCCAGAGCUGCUGACUUCCUCGCCGCCUCCCUGCGCAAUGGGACCUAGAGAUAAGCCCCAAGCCCGGGUGCUAGUCCAGGCAGAGUCGGGUGCUAGUCCAGGCAGAGUCCAGUGCUAGUCCGCGGCCUCAACAGAGCUGUCGGCUGGGCUCCGGAAGCCCACCCGGAACCUGAUGGAGGCAGCGAAUUCCUCAGAGCAGAGGACACUGCGGAGAGGCUCGAAUCCACUUCCCACAUUGUGCGGGACCGAGCGCGCAGGGCGCUCUCGCGUGGCCUCCUUAGCUCGGGUUCAGCCGAGGCUCUCACGUACACUUCGUUACCCCUUCCCCCCGCCGCAGCUCUGGUCCUUCCUUCCACUGGCUCUCUUCUCUGGCCUAUGGAAACAACGAACUACUUUUCGCCUUUCAAGGCCCGGGUCCCAAGCCACCUCCUCUGUGAAGCCGCCAACACCCUGGUAGCUGCCUCUCAGUGUUUUGCAACUGGCACGGCCCUGUCCCUCGGUCCGCUUCUACUAGCGCUGGGGGUGCUGCGAGUCUUGCCCACUAGACUAGGAGCUCCUUGAGGGCAGGAACCGAAUCUGAUUCGUUUCCAUUUUCCCAGCCCCCCUGCGCGGCCUGGCGCAGAAAAGACGCGCAAUAAACAUUUGCUGAAUUGAA